GUGCUCACUUCAGCAGCACAUAUACUAAAAUUGGAACUACAAAGAGAUUAGCAUGGCCCCUGUGCAAGAAUGACACUCAAAUUUGGGAACCAUUACAUAUUAAA